rnacentral:lncRNA from 1 species
GAAGCCGGCCGCCGCCACCCGCCGCCGCACCGGAGGAAUUUUCGACUGCUGAUCGAGGUAAAUUUCGUACCCCCGACUCGUUUUUCCACGCUGAUUCCUCCUGUGGCCAAAUCGGAGCCAAAAUCCCGGCCAAACGGCUGGAAUACACGGCCGAAGCCCAGCGGCGCCGCCGCGCCCCUUCUCGAUUUUUGCCUCCGAUGAGGCCCUUCUCGGCCUCCGUUUGAUGCAAUUUUUAUAUCACCGUGAUCACCAUUCUUUUCUCUACAGGUUGACCGGAGCCGAAUCACCAAAACACGAACCUCGCCGGAGAGCCGCCACACCCGAGAGCGCCGCCGCCGGUAAGCUCCGUUUUUUCCGUGAUUUUUUGGCCCCCCGAGGGCCCUAGGGUUGUUUUCUUGCAGGGACCGAUGCGAGUGUGGCCGAAAACAGCCAACCCGAGGCGAAUCGCCGCCGCCAGCGGUGGUGCCGUCGUCGGAGCACGGCGGAGCCGCCGUGCCGGAGUUGCGAUUUGGG